GUUUUCGGCCGAUUUUAGGGUUUAUAGUCGAUUUUUGGAAUUUUGGCCGAUUUUAGGUUUUUCUGCCGAUUUUUCGGGUUGCCGUCCGAUUUUAGGGUUUAUAGUCGAUUUUUUGGAUUUUGGCCGAUUUUAGGUUUUCGGCCGAUUUUUUGGGUUUUCGGUGGAUUUUUGGUUUUUCGGCCGAUUUUUUGGGUUUUCGGCUGAUUUUAGGGUUUAUAGUCGAUUUUUGGAAUUUUGACCGAUUUUAGGUUUUUUCUGCCGAUUUUUCGGGUUGCCGGCCAAUUUUAGGGUUUAUAGUCAAUUUUUUGGAUUUUGGCCGAUUUUAGGUUUUCGGCCGAUUUUUUGGGUUUUUCGGUUGAUUUUUGGUUUUUCGGCCGAUUUUUUUGGGUUUUCAUCCGAUUUUAGGGAUUAUAGUCAAUUUUUUGAAUUUUGGCCGAUUUUAAGUUUUUCGGCAAAUUUUUUGGAUUUUUGGCCGAUUUUAGGGUUUAUAGUCGAUUUUUGGGCUUUUGGCCAAUUUUAGGAUUUUUCUGCCGAUUUUAGAUUUUUA
rnacentral:lncRNA from 1 species